UACGGGGGGGGCAAGCGUUGUUCGGAAUUACUGGGCGUAAAGGGCUCGUAGGUGGCCACCUAAGUCAGACGUGAAAUCCCUCAGCUUAACUGGGGAACUGCGUCUGAUACUGGAUGGCUUGAGUUUGGGAGAGGGAUGCGGAAUUCCAGGUGUAGCGGUGAAAUGCGUAGAUAUCUGGAGGAACACCGGUGGCGAAGGCGGCAUCCUGGACCAACACUGACACUGAGGAGCGAAAGCCAGGGGAGCAAACGGG
rnacentral:rRNA from 1 species